rnacentral:rRNA from 1 species
CGCGGCCUAUCAGCUUGUUGGUGAGGUAACGGCUCACCAAGGCAUCGACGGGUAGCUGGUCUGAGAGGAUGAUCAGCCACACUGGGACUGAGACACGGCCCAGACUCCUACGGGAGGCAGCAGUAGGGAAUCUUGCGCAAUGGGCGAAAGCCUGACGCAGCAACGCCGCGUGGGGGAUGAAUGCCUUCGGGUUGUAAACCCCUUUCAGCAGGGACGAAAAUGACGGUACCUGCAGAAGAAGCUCCGGCCAACUACGUGCCAGCAGCCGCGGUAAUACGUAGGGAGCGAGCGUUGUCCGGAAUUAUUGGGCGUAAAGAGCUCGUAGGCGGUUCAGUAAGUCGGGUGUGAAAACUCAAGGCUCAACCUUGAGACGCCACUCGAUACUGCUGUGACUUGAGUCCGGUAGAGGAGUGUGGAAUUCCUGGUGUAGCGGUGAAAUGCGCAGAUAUCAGGAGGAACACCAGCGGCGAAGGCGGCACUCUGGGCCGGUACUGACGCUGAGGAGCGAAAGCAUGGGGAGCGAACAGGAUUAGAUACCCUGGUAGUCCAUGCCGUAAACGUUGGGCACUAGGUAUGGGAUCAUAUCAACGGAUUCCGUGCCGUAGCUAACGCAUUAAGUGCCCCGCCUGGGGAGUACGG